rnacentral:tRNA from 10 species
AUACUCUAAAUAUAAGCUAUUUGAAU